rnacentral:ncRNA from 20 species
GGCAAUGAUGAAAAGAGGGUUAGCUGAACUGUGAUGAUACUUACCCGAACUGAGC